rnacentral:rRNA from 13 species
GGUGGGUAGUUUGACUGGGGUGGUCGCCUCCAAAAGAGUAACGGAGGCUUCCAAAGGUUCGCUCAGCACGCUUGGUAACCGUGCGUAGAGUGCAAUAGCAUAAGCGAGCUUGACUGUGAGACAGACAAGUCGAUCAGGGACGAAAGUCGGGUAUAGUGAUCCGGUGGUACUGAAUGGAAGGGCCAUCGCUCAAAGGAUAAAAGGUACUCUGGGGAUAACAGGCUGAUCUCCCCCAAGAGCUCAUAUCGACGGGGAGGUUUGGCACCUCGAUGUCGGCUCGUCGCAUCCUGGGGCUGGAGUAGGUCCCAAGGGUUGGGCUGUUCGCCCAUGAAAGCGGUACGCGAGCUGGGUUUAGAACGUCGUGAGACAGUUCGGUCCCUAUCCGCCGCGCGCGUUGGAGACUUGAGGAAGGCUGUCCCUAGUACGAGAGGACCGGGACGGACGAACCUCUGGUGUGCCAGUUGUCCCGCCAGGGGCACGGCUGGUUGGCUAUGUUCGGGAGGGAUAACCGCUGAAGGCAUCUAAGCGGGAAGCCUGUUCCAAGAUGAGGUCUCCCACCACCUUCGAGUGGGUAAGGCUCCCAGUAGAUGACUGGGUUGAUAGGCCGGAGAUGGAAGCCCUGUGAGGGGUGGAGUUGACCGGUACUAAUAGGCCGAGGGCUUG